UACGAGGGGGGCGAGCGUUGUUCGGAAUUAUUGGGCGGAAAGGGUGCGUAGGCGGUUUGGUAAGUCUGAUGUGAAAUCUAUGGGCUCAACUCAUAGUCUGCAUCGGAAACUGCCGGGCUUGAGUAUGGGAGAGGUGAGUGGAAUUCCCGGUGUAGCGGUGAAAUGCGUAGAUAUCAGGAGGAACACCUGUGGCGAAAGCGGCUCACUGGACCAUAACUGACGCUGAUGCACGAAAGCUAGGGGAGCAAACAGG
rnacentral:rRNA from 1 species